AUGAACGCUAGCGACAGGCCUAACACAUGCAAGUCGAGGGGCAGCGGGGAGGUAGCAAUACCUUUGUCGGCGACCGGCGCACGGGUGAGUAACACGUAUGCAAUCCACCUGUAACAGGGGGAUAACCCGGAGAAAUCCGGACUAAUACCCCAUAAUAUGGGCGCUCCGCAUGGAGAGCCCAUUAAAGAGAGCAAUUUUGGUUACAGACGAGCAUGCGCUCCAUUAGCCAGUUGGCGGGGUAACGGCCCACCAAAGCGACGAUGGAUAGGGGUUCUGAGAGGAAGGUCCCCCACAUUGGAACUGAGACACGGUCCAAACUCCUACGGGAGGCAGCAGUGAGGAAUAUUGGUCAAUGGUCGGCAGACUGAACCAGCCAAGUCGCGUGAGGGAAGACGGCCCUACGGGUUGUAAACCUCUUUUGUCGGAGAGUAAAGUACGCUACGUGUAGUGUAUUGCAAGUAUCCGAAGAAAAAGCAUCGGCUAACUCCGUGCCAGCAGCCGCGGUAAUACGGAGGAUGCAAGCGUUAUCCGGAUUUAUUGGGUUUAAAGGGUGCGUAGGCGGCACGCCAAGUCAGCGGUGAAAUUUCCGGGCUCAACCCGGAGUGUGCCGUUGAAACUGGCGAGCUAGAGUACACAAGAGGCAGGCGGAAUGCGUGGUGUAGCGGUGAAAUGCAUAGAUAUCACGCAGAACCCCGAUUGCGAAGGCAGCCUGCUAGGGUGAAACAGACGCUGAGGCACGAAAGCGUGGGUAUCGAACAGGAUUAGAUACCCUGGUAGUCCACGCAGUAAACGAUGAAUACUAACUGUUUGCGAUACAAUGUAAGCGGUACAGCGAAAGCGUUAAGUAUUCCACCUGGGGAGUACGCCGGCAACGGUGAAACUCAAAGGAAUUGACGGGGGCCCGCACAAGCGGUGGAGUAUGUGGUUUAAUUCGACGCAACGCGAAGAACCUUACCAAGUCUUGACAUCCUUCUGACCGGACAGUAAUGUGUCCUUUCCUUCGGGACAGAAGAGACAGGUGGUGCAUGGUUGUCGUCAGCUCGUGCCGUGAGGUGUCGGCUUAAGUGCCAUAACGAGCGCAACCCCUAUCGACAGUUACUAACGGGUCAAGCCGAGGACUCUGUCGAGACUGCCGGCGCAAGCCGCGAGGAAGGUGGGGAUGACGUCAAAUCAGCACGGCCCUUACGUCCGGGGCGACACACGUGUUACAAUGGCAGGUACAGAAGGCAGCCAGUCAGCAAUGACGCGCGAAUCCCGAAAACCUGUCUCAGUUCGGAUUGGAGUCUGCAACCCGACUCCAUGAAGCUGGAUUCGCUAGUAAUCGCGCAUCAGCCAUGGCGCGGUGAAUACGUUCCCGGGCCUUGUACACACCGCCCGUCAAGCCAUGGAAGCCGGGAGUACCUGAAGCAUGCAACCGCAAGGAGCGUACGAAGGUAAUACCGGUAACUGGGGCU
rnacentral:rRNA from 1 species